rnacentral:lncRNA from 1 species
UUGUGUUCUUAGACAUGCUGCAAUAGCAUGUCUUCAACUCGCUCUUUUUUCUACCACAACUGUGGACUAGGUACAAUGUUCUGAAGGAGGUAAUGUUGGAAUUGGAAUGUCAAACUCUCUUGACCUGAAAUAUUCUUUUAUGGUUCUGAGAUUCUGAAACUGGAAUUUUUUCAUAGAUGAAUAUGAUUGGUACGCAAAGGAUGUACUAUUAUUGGGAUGUUGGUUGAGGAAGAUUCUGUAGGAGCUCCUUCCCUUUUUGUAUUUUUCCAUAUGUACUAUGAUGAGUACCUUUUUUUGGGAAUAAAAUGCUCAUCUUCCUUCACCUUUGUACAUUAGUUAGUGUUUAAUGUUAAAUGAGAGUUGAUUUCAAAUUGGGCUAAUUUCACUCAUGGUCACUUGACUUAUUCCUAAAUUUCAUUAUGACUGUUAGAGAACGAUCACUCAACUUUGAUUUUGCUUCAAUAUUGCUGUGUAUUUAUUCUGUUGGAAAACUUUUACUUUGUUAUCAUGUUCCAAAAGGUUGUAGUUUUGUUAAAAUCUGGAGUCUACAUUAUGACUUUGUUGUAACUGAACAUUAAAGUUGGGUGAUUUUGCUGUUGCAAAAAGGGAAGUGAUGGUAAUUUGUUGUGUGGGAUCGAGCAUUGAUGCUUAAAUUGGGAG